rnacentral:rRNA from 1 species
GCGUUGUUCGGAAUCACUGGGCGUAAAGGGUGCGUAGGCGGAUUUUUAAGUCAGGGGUGAAAUCCCGAGGCUCAACCUCGGAACUGCCUUUGAUACUGGGGAUCUUGAGUCCGGAAGAGGUGAGUGGAACUGCGAGUGUAGAGGUGAAAUUCGUAGAUAUUCGCAAGAACACCAGUGGCGAAGGCGGCUCACUGGUCCGGAACUGACGCUGAGGCACGACAGCGUG